GAUGAACGCUGGCGGCGUGCUUAACACAUGCAAGUCGAACGAUGAACCGGGUGCUUGCACUCGGGGAUUAGUGGCGAACGGGUGAGUAACACGUGAGCAACCUGCCCCUGACUCUGGGAUAAGCGCUGGAAACGGCGUCUAAUACUGGAUAUGUCCCGUCACCGCAUGGUGUGCGGGUGGAAAGAUUUUUCGGUUGGGGAUGGGCUCGCGGCCUAUCAGCUUGCUGGUGAGGUAAAGGCUCACCAAGGCGACGACGGGUAGCCGGCCUGAGAGGGUGACCGGCCACACUGGGACUGAGACACGGCCCAGACUCCUACGGGAGGCAGCAGUGGGGAAUAUUGCACAAUGGGCGCAAGCCUGAUGCAGCAACGCCGCGUGAGGGAUGACGGCCUUCGGGUUGUAAACCUCUUUUAGCAGGGAAGAAGCGAAAGUGACGGUACCUGCAGAAAAAGCACCGGCUAACUACGUGCCAGCAGCCGCCGUAA
rnacentral:rRNA from 1 species